rnacentral:rRNA from 1 species
AUGGACCAAUCCAUCCCUUUUUCCCGUGCAUAUGCAUCGGACUCGGAUGACGAUGGUCCCGAUGAAGAAGUUGAUGAGGAGGGGUUCACGCCGAAGGAGGCCCAAGCAUUCAAGAAGGUAUUCGGGCGGGAUCACAAGACACCAUUGUUCAAGGAUCUUAGUCUCGAGGAUGAAGCCGUUGUGGAUGGUGGCAAAUGCAUAUCUCUUGGAGCUAGGCCAAGUUCUCAC